GUUUGCCAGCUGUGAGUAACAGCAGGCUGUCAUGAUGGGAUAUAGCAGAAGCAGCAGCAGCAACAACUCCUGAUUUAGGGGCAAAAGAUGGAUGGGUGCUCUACUUAUGGAGUGGAUUUCACCUGUCAUCAAGCAGGCCUCAUCAGAUUGUGAUAUUCUGUAAGAAAAACUGGGAGCAUCUUCUUCUAUGAGCCCAGCCUGACUCAUGGCCAUCAAAACAUCCUUGCUGUCUCCCUCCCGUCCCAAAAGCAGAGGUAUGUUUUUUGACCUGGGACAAGUCCCAUCUGUUGUACCGUCCAUCUGUAUCAGUCUCCUCAG